UACGUAGGGUGCGAGCGUUAAUCGGAAUUACUGGGCGUAAAGCGUGCGCAGGCGGUUUGUUAAGACAGAUGUGAAAUCCCCGGGCUUAACCUGGGAACUGCAUUUGUGACUGGCAAGCUAGAGUAUGGCAGAGGGGGGUAGAAUUCCACGUGUAGCAGUGAAAUGCGUAGAGAUGUGGAGGAAUACCGAUGGCGAAGGCAGCCCCCUAGGUCAAGAUUGACGCUCAUGCACGAAAGCGUGGGGAGCAAACAGG
rnacentral:rRNA from 1 species